rnacentral:tRNA from 1 species
GGUCAGGUGGCUGAGUGGUCGAAAGCACUUCUUUGCUAAAGAAGCGUGCCCCAAAAGGGUACCGUGGGUUCGAAUCCCACCCUGACCG